GUAGGGAAUAUUGGACAAUGGGGGCAACCCUGAUCCAGCGACGCCGCGUGAGUGAUGAAGGCCUUCGGGUCGUAAAGCUCUGUUGCAGGGGAAGAACACAAUGACGGUACCCUGCUAGAAAGGAUCGGCUAACUUCGUGCCAGCAGCCGCGGUAAGACGAGGGAUCCUAGCGUUGUUCGGAAUUAUUGGGCGUAAAGCGGGUGCAGGUGGCUUGGUAAGUCAGAUGUGAAAGCCUGGGGCUUAACCCCAGAAGUGCAUUGGAGACUGCUGAGCUUGAGUGCUGGAGAGGCUAUUAGAAUUCCUGGUGUAGUGGUGAAAUACGUAGAUAUCAGGAGGAAUACCGGAGGCGAAGGCGGAUAGCUGGCCAGACACUGACACUCAGACCCGAAAGCGUGGGGAUCAAACAGGAGUAGAAACCCCAGUAGUCC
rnacentral:rRNA from 1 species